CAAGGACGGCACACAGGCAGGGCUCCGUCAAAGUGUGCUAUAAAAAAAUCACCCACGACACAGGCUGAAACACCGAAAGUCUAAUGAAGACAGCUCUGAGGUUUUGAAAGAAACAGAGCGUGUGAUGUCAGAGGAACUAUCCGACAGUCACUCUGAUCAAGAUGCUCUUCAGAUAGCCGGUACAUCAAAGGACUUGCUUUACCUUGAAGAUGAGUACGCUUGACUAGCUGCUAAUGUGAAUGACAACCAGGUAAGCCAACAACAACGUCAACAACAG